rnacentral:rRNA from 1 species
AACGAACGCUGGCGGCAUGCCUAACACAUGCAAGUCGAACGAAGGCUUCGGCCUUAGUGGCGCACGGGUGAGUAACGCGUGGGAAACUGCCUAUUGGUGGGGAAUAACGACGGGAAACUGUCGCUAAUACCGCAUAAGCCCUUCGGGGGAAAGAUUUAUCGCCGAUAGAUGUGCCCGCGUCCGAUUAGCUAGUUGGUGAGGUAAUGGCCCACCAAGGCGACGAUCGGUAGCUGGUCUGAGAGGAUGGUCAGCCACACUGGGACUGAGACACGGCCCAGACUCCUACGGGAGGCAGCAGUGGGGAAUAUUGGACAAUGGGCGAAAGCCUGAUCCAGCAAUGCCGCGUGAGUGAUGAAGGCCUUAGGGUUGUAAAGCUCUUUCGGGUGGGACGAUGAUGACGGUACCACCAGAAGAAGCCCCGGCUAACUUCGUGCCAGCCGCCGCCGUAA